GACCUCUGAUCGGAAAAGACUACCCGCCGAGUCUAA
rnacentral:rRNA from 1 species